UCAGGAUGAACGCUGGCGGCGUGCAUAACACAUCAAGUCGAACGGACGAGGCCCCUCGGGGACGUGAGUCAGUGGCGGACGGGUGAGUAACGCGUGAGCAACCUGCCUAUGCAGGGGGAUAACAGUGGGAAACUACUGCUAAUACCGCAUAACACAUGCCUUGGGCAUCCUUGGCAUGUCAAAGAUUCAUUGCGCAUAGAUGGGCUCGCGUCCGAUUAGAUAGUUGGUGAGGUAACGGCCCACCAAGUCGACGAUCGGUAGCCGGACUGAGAGGUUGAACGGCCACAUUGGAACUGAGAGACGGUCCAGACUCCUACGGGAGGCAGCAGUGGGGAAUAUUGGGCAAUGGGCGAAAAAGCCUGACCCAGCGACGCCGCGUGAGUGAAGAAGGUCUUCGGAUUGUAAAGCUUAGUUAUCGGGGAAGAAGGAAGUGACGGUACCCGAAGAGAAAGCCACGGCUAACUACGUGCCAGCCGCGGC
rnacentral:rRNA from 1 species